AUGACACAGGAAACUGGUUUGGUUUGCAGCAGGGAAGGUCCAAAAUUGAACAUCAAGGCUGACAGCAGGAGGUGCUUUGAUGAGCUUCCAUCUGGAAAGGCAGUGCAUGCAUAUGGAAGAGAGAUCGUAACCUGAAGAUUAACAUGACAAAGCACUGCUGCAAAUUUUCAGCUGGAAAGACAGAAUUGCUUUCAACUCAGACAAUAAAUUAGAUAUGAUUCACA
rnacentral:lncRNA from 1 species